rnacentral:lncRNA from 1 species
UGUCGUUAGCGGCAAUGUAGAACUGUUACUGUAUUUGCUUUUGUAAACAAUGUGUACCCUUUGCUGCUACGUAUUGUGCAGUGUAAAUAAUACUGACAUGAAGAAAUCUGAUGGAAUUGAUUUUCAGUCACUAAUAAGGGUUUGCACAUUUUUAUUGUAAGGUAGCACGUUUGUUUUUAUUUUUAUUUGUGAAAAACAAUGAACAUUCAUAGGGAGAACAGUUUUUGUCUUGCAUGACAUACACUUCUUGUCUCAGGAAACAAAGCCCUAUGCUUUUAGACAUGGAUGACUCUCAAGCAGGCCGUGUCCUCAAAUAGUAGUCUACUAAACCUCUUGAAUGAAACCUGCUUUUGGUUCAUUAACGAAGAUAACUCUCUGGGCUAAGCCCACCCAUAUGUGGGGUAUAAUUCUGGGCAGACCACGGGAAAGAGGGAGAGCUCCACAUCCCAGCUAUAUCUUGCCUCUGGUUGCUUAUUGGUAGUCCUUAUGGGGAAUAAUUUUAUUUUUAACUAGCAUUGGACAAACAAUGUCCUUUGCCCUGAAAAAUAAGUUUUAAAUAUGCCUCACAUUCAUCAUCCAGAGAGUAUCAUUUCUUCAAAUUAAUCAAGCCUGCAGCUACAUGGAAGUACCAGUUUUUCUGAAGAUCAGCAUACCAACCCAGAGUGCUAAGAUUUUCUUUUUUGUGGGGCAUAUGUACACGCUGAGUGCCACAGGAAUGCAAGGAAUGCUCUCUUGGGCUCUUCUCUUCCAUCACUUCGGGGCACUGAAUCUCUCCCGUUGCAGACGAGCUUGCCUGACAUGAAACUUGGAGAGAUUCCUGUUUCCACCUACAGCUAACUCUGUGAAAAUACAUAGUGAUAAAUCCAAGUAUGAAAUUCAUCUGACAUGAAGGAACUGACAAAAAUAAGCAACACUGCAGAGGUGAGCUGUUACUAACCAUGGGAUAGAAGUUUACCUGACACGUUAUUUGUACUACCUGGAUCUAUUUCUAAGACACACUCCAAUAACUACUUUUCCUCCAUUUGUGUGCGUGUGUGUGUGUGUAAACUUCACUGUUUGUUCUAUGUAUUAAGCAGAUGCUUAUAAUACUCUUUACACAUUCAGCAGAAAGCUGUGAUAAAUCUUCCUACUUCUCUAACAACUGGUUUGUGACUGGAACAUCCACUAUCAGCCUCUUAUACCAUUGCUGCAAGAACAUGGGAACAUCCUUCUGGCUUCCAGAACAAGUUUACGGAAAAUAAAAAUAGAAGAUUGCCCCCCUCAUUGUUGCUACAGUUAGAGGAAGUUGUCAACGGGAGGUCUGCAGCCAAGCAAGUUUAUCUUGUAAGUGUUUUCUAAGUCAGGAAUAGAAACUGAAAUGUGGGAAGCAAUUGUACAGAAAGAGGUACUAGGGAUGGAGAUUACGAUCUUGUGGGAAACCAAGUGACUCUUUGGAAGACAUUCAUUUCAAAAGACACGUGAACCCUUAAAGAUUUUGUCACAGGGAAGUUAUUUGCUCGGAAUUUUCCCCUUUUUUCAAUGCAUUAACAACUUGAAAUACUGCUGACAUAUGCUGGCAUCUGACUGACACGACAAAAGCACUGUGCACUGCUGCAAUAAAAACACCCUUGUGUUACCCUUAUUUAGCUUUUAUUUCUCUUUCUUCAGCUCAAGCUAGCAGGAAUGGAGACAGCCAAAUGUAUUUAGUCCUUGGGACAAGGAAGUCCUGGCAUACUUCAGGAAUAUCCUCCUUCAAAU